rnacentral:lncRNA from 1 species
AUGUAUUGUUCUUAUCUGGGCAUCUCCCAUGAGCCUGUAUUGAGCCAAUGUGUGAGACACCAGCCUAGAACACACACAGUCCUCCCUCCCCAAGUUCUGGAAGAACCGGAGGCUGGUGUUGCAGUUCUUUGA